rnacentral:rRNA from 1 species
GAUGAACGCUGGCGGCGUGCCUAAUACAUGCAAGUCGAGCGAACGGACGAGAAGCUUGCUUCUCUGAUGUUAGCGGCGGACGGGUGAGUAACACGUGGAUAACCUACCUAUAAGACUGGGAUAACUUCGGGAAACCGGAGCUAAUACCGGAUAAUAUUUUGAACCGCAUGGUUCAAAAGUGAAAGACGGUCUUGCUGUCACUUAUAGAUGGAUCCGCGCUGCAUUAGCUAGUUGGUAAGGUAACGGCUUACCAAGGCAACGAUGCAUAGCCGACCUGAGAGGGUGAUCGGCCACACUGGAACCGAGACACGGUCCAGACUCCUACGGGAGGCAGCAGUAGGGAAUCUUCCGCAAUGGGCGAAAGCCUGACGGAGCAACGCCGCGUGAGUGAUGAAGGUCUUCGGAUCGUAAAACUCUGUUAUUAGGGAAGAACAUAUGUGUAAGUAACUGUGCACAUCUUGACGGUACCUAAUCAGAAAGCCACGGCUAACUACGUGCCAGCAGCCGCGGUAAUACGUAGGUGGCAAGCGUUAUCCGGAAUUAUUGGGCGUAAAGCGCGCGUAGGCGGUUUUUUAAGUCUGAUGUGAAAGCCCACGGCUCAACCGUGGAGGGUCAUUGGAAACUGGAAAACUUGAGUGCAGAAGAGGAAAGUGGAAUUCCAUGUGUAGCGGUGAAAUGCGCAGGGAUAUGGAGGAACACCAGUGGCGAAGGCGACUUUCUGGUCUGUAACUGACGCUGAUGUGCGAAAGCGUGGGGAUCAAACAGGAUUAGAUACCCUGGUAGUCCACGCCGCAAACGAUGAGUGCUAAGUGUUAGGGGGUUUCCGCCCCUUAGUGCUGCAGCUAACGCAUUAAGCACUCCGCCUGGGGAGUACGACCGCAAGGUUGAAACUCAAAGGAAUUGACGGGGACCCGCACAAGCGGUGGAGCAUGUGGUUUAAUUCGAAGCAACGCGAAGAACCUUACCAAAUCUUGACAUCCUUUGACAACUCUAGAGAUAGAGCCUUCCCCUUCGGGGGACAAAGUGACAGGUGGUGCAUGGUUGUCGUCAGCUCGUGUCGUGAGAUGUUGGGUUAAGUCCCGCAACGAGCGCAACCCUUAAGCUUAGUUGCCAUCAUUAAGUUGGGCACUCUAAGUUGACUGCCGGUGACAAACCGGAGGAAGGUGGGGAUGACGUCAAAUCAUCGUGCCCCUUAUGAUUUGGGCUACACACGUGCUACAAUGGACAAUACAAAGGGCAGCGAAACCGCGAGGUCAAGCAAAUCCCAUAAAGUUGUUCUCAGUUCGGAUUGUAGUCUGCAACUCGACUACAUGAAGCUGGAAUCGCUAGUAAUCGUAGAUCAGCAUGCUACGGUGAAUACGUUCCCGGGUCU